CACGUAGGGGGCGAGCGUUGUCCGGAUUUAUUGGGCGUAAAGAGCUCGUAGGCGGCUCGGUAAGUCGGGUGUGAAAUUUCAGGGCUCAACCCUGAAAAGCCACCCGAUACUGCUGUGGCUAGAGUCCGGUAGGGGAGUGGGGAAUUCCUGGUGUAGCGGUGAAAUGCGCAGAUAUCAGGAGGAACACCAGCGGCGAAGGCGCCACUCUGGGCCGGUACUGACGCUGAGGAGCGAAAGCGUGGGGAGCGAACAGG
rnacentral:rRNA from 1 species